CCUACGGGCGGCAGCAGUGGGGAAUAUUGCACAAUGGGGGGAACCCUGAUGCAGCAAAGCCGCGUGAGUGAAGAAGGAUUUCGGGAUGGAAAGCUCUAUCAGCAGGGAAGAAGAAGACGGUACCUGAGGAAGAAGCCCCGGCUAACUACGGGCCAGCAGCCGCGGUAAUACGGAGGGGGCAAGCGUUAUCCGGAUUUACUGGGGGUAAAGGGAGCGUAGACGGUGAGACAAGUCGGAAGGGACAGCCCGGGGCUCCACCCCGGGACUGCUUGGGAAACUGCCUGACUGGAGUGCUGGAGAGGCCAGCGGAAUUCCUCGUGUCGCGGUGAACUGCGUCGAUCUUCGGAAGAACCCCAGUGGCGACGGCGGCUUGCUGGACAGUAACUGCCGUUGCGGCUCGACAGCGUG
rnacentral:rRNA from 1 species